AAAAUUCAGUUUACUAUAUCUAUUCCCCUAGUUCUAAGUUCUAAUAUAAAAUUUUUUUAUUUGGAUUCAUUUCAGUUUAACUAAUUUUUAUCAUUUCUGAAACAAUAAUUAACUAUUCUGUACUUUCUUAUGCAAAAAUUGAUAUAGAAAACAAAAACUAGCAGUACUAAUCAACAGAAAAAUUUAUUUAGCAAUAUUUUCAACUUAUUCUUGAGUUCAUUAUCUUCAGUUAUACUAUUGAAGUUAAUAGUGCAGCUGAAGAUGAUUUCAAGAGACCUUUAUAAUUAUGAUAAGGCAUGUGAUAGUCACAUGUCUUAUCUGUAACAAGAUCUAACUCUUCAAAAUCAAGUCAAUUGUUCAGCAUUAAGAAUCAGGUACUGUAAAGCAAAAGAGAGGAAAGCUACCAACACAAUACAGAAGACAUAGUCGAAUGCUGCUCAUUAAUAUUUCUUGAUGGAUGAAUUAAAACAGAUCUGUGAUCUUUGCAAGCACCUUUUGUUCAAUUUACUUAUUUUACUGCUAAAUUUUUACAGCAUUUUAAUCAUUUUUUAUUUUUUAAAUCUUUUUGGAAAGAAUUUAAUUAUUCUGUUUUAUCAUCAUCAUCAAAUUAUAUCCUCUGUUACUGUUGUUACAAUACAUGACAUGAACAAAAGCAUUACAGCAUAAAUAAGUUCAACAAAAAUUUAAUUAAAUAAACAAAAAAACAUUUUUACUUUUAUAAAAUAAACCCUCUUUAAUUACAUUCCACUCUUUCAAUAAGAAAAUUGAAUAGUCUACAAUUUCUUUAAUCAAAAACAAAGAAUACUCACAUUCC
rnacentral:lncRNA from 1 species